rnacentral:rRNA from 1 species
UACGAAGGGGGCUAGCGUUGUUCGGAAUUACUGGGCGUAAAGCGCACGUAGGCGGAUAUUUAAGUCAGGGGUGAAAUCCCGCAGCUCAACUGCGGAACUGCCUUUGAUACUGGGUAUCUUGAGUAUGGAAGAGGUUAGUGGAAUUGCGAGUGUAGAGGUGAAAAUUCGUAGAUAUUCGCAAGAACACCAGUGGCGAAGGCGGCUCACUGGCCCGGUACUGACGCUGAGACGCGAAAGCGUGGGGAGCGAACAGG